AUCUUGGUUCAGGACGAACGCUGGCGGCGUGCCUAAUACAUGCAAGUCGAACGGUCUUUCUAUGGAAGCUUGCUUCCACUGAGGAGAUAGUGGCGAACGGGUGAGUAACACGUGGGUAACCUGCCCAUAAGAGGGGGAUAACAUCCGGAAACGGGUGCUAAUACCGCAUAGUUUUCUUGAUCGCAUGAUCGGGAAAGGAAAGACGGCCUUUGUGCUGUCGCUUAUGGAUGGACCCGCGGCGUAUUAGUUAGUUGGUGAGGUAACGGCUCACCAAGACGAUGAUACGUAGCCGACCUGAGAGGGUGAUCGGCCACAUUGGGACUGAGACACGGCCCAAACUCCUACGGGAGGCAGCAGUAGGGAAUCUUCCGCAAUGGACGAAAGUCUGACGGAGCAACGCCGCGUGAGUGAAGAAAGGUUUUCGGAUCGUAAAACUCUGUUGUCAGAGAAGAACAAGUCGGAGAGUAACUGCUCCAGCCUUGACGGUAUCUGACCAGAAAGCCACGGCUAACUACGUGCCAGCCGCCGC
rnacentral:rRNA from 1 species